AGUGAACGCUGGCGGUAGGCCUAACACAUGCAAGUCGAACGGCAGCACAGUAAGAGCUUGCUCUUACGGGUGGCGAGUGGCGGACGGGUGAGGAAUACAUCGGAAUCUACUUUUUCGUGGGGGAUAACGUAGGGAAACUUACGCUAAUACCGCAUACGACCUACGGGUGAAAGCAGGGGAUCUUCGGACCUUGCGCGAUUGAAUGAGCCGAUGUCGGAUUAGCUAGUUGGCGGGGUAAAGGCCCACCAAGGCGACGAUCCGUAGCUGGUCUGAGAGGAUGAUGAGCCACACUGGGACUGAGACACGGUCCAGACUCCUACGGGAGGCAGCAGUGGGGAAUAUUGGACAAUGGGCGCAAGCCUGAUCCAGCCAUACCGCGUGGGUGAAGAAGGCCUUCGGGUUGUAAAGCCCUUUUGUUGGGAAAGAAAAGCAGCAGGUUAAUACCCCGCUGUUCUGACGGUACCCAAAGAAUAAGCACCGGCUAACUUCGUG
rnacentral:rRNA from 1 species